rnacentral:rRNA from 1 species
AACGAACGCUGGCGGCAGGCCUAACACAUGCAAGUCGAACACCCCGCAAGGGGAGUGGCAGACGGGUGAGUAACGCGUGGGAAUCUACCCAGUUCUGCGGAACAACAGUUGGAAACGACUGCUAAUACCGCAUACGCCCUACGGGGGAAAGAUUUAUCGGAAUUGGAUGAGCCCGCGUUGGAUUAGCUAGUUGGUGGGGUAAUGGCCUACCAAGGCGACGAUCCAUAGCUGGUCUGAGAGGAUGAUCAGCCACACUGGGACUGAGACACGGCCCAGACUCCUACGGGAGGCAGCAGUGGGGAAUAUUGGACAAUGGGCGCAAGCCUGAUCCAGCCAUGCCGCGUGAGUGAUGAAGGCCGUAGGGUUGUAAAGCUCUUUCAGUAGGGAAGAUAAUGACGGUACCUACAGAAGAAGCCCCGGCUAACUUCGUGCCAGCCGCCGCAGUAAUAC